ACAAAAUUAACGUAACAUAUGGUGUUCCCCAAGGUACAGUCUUGGGUCCGAUCCUGUUCCUUGUAUAUAUUAAUGACUUCAAUGAAUACAUGAAACACAGUACCCUCACAUUAUUUGCAGAUGAUAGUAUAAUUUAUAAAACAAUUCGAAACAAAGAAGACACACAAAAACUGCAAGAAGACCUCACAUCAGCAGCAAAAUGGGAGAAGGACUGGCUCAUGUCAUUCCAUCCAAACAAGUGUUCAGUCCUUCAGAUAACAACCAAGAAAAACCCAAUAAAAAUUGACUAUACUCUCCACCAACAUGUAUUACAAAAAGAAACAUCCACAAAAUAUUUGGGAAUAACUAUACAAACUGACCUAAAAUGGAACAAACAUGUAAACAAUAUUACAGCUGCAGCCACACAAAAGCUGAACUUUAUCAAAAGAAAUUUAAAAGUUAAUUCUAAAACAGUCAAAGAAAAGGC
rnacentral:lncRNA from 1 species